rnacentral:rRNA from 1 species
UACGAAGGGGGCUAGCGUUGUUCGGAAUCACUGGGCGUAAAGCGCACGUAGGCGGAUCUUUAAGUCAGGGGUGAAAUCCCCAGGCUCAACCUGGGAACUGCGUCUGAUACUGGAUGGCUUGAAUCCGGGAGAGGGAUGCAGAAUUCCAGGUGUAGCGGUGAAAUGCGUAGAUAUCUGGAGGAAUACCGGUGGCGAAGGCGGCAUCCUGGACCGGCAUUGACGCUGAGGAGCGAAAGCCAGGGGAGCAAACGGG